rnacentral:rRNA from 1 species
AGACAGAGGGUGCGAACGUUGUUCGGAAUUACUGGGCGUAAAGCGCGUGUAGGCGGCUAUGCAAGUCGGGUGUGAAAGCCCUGGGCUUAACCGAGGAAGUGCACUCGAAACUGCAUAGCUCGAGUCCCGGAGAGGAUGGUGGAAUUCUCGGUGUAGAGGUGAAAUUCGUAGAUAUCGAGAGGAACACCGGUGGCGAAGGCGGCCAUCUGGACGGGUACUGACGCUGAGACGCGAAAGCGUGGGUAGCAAACAGGAUUAGAAACCCCAGUAGUCC